rnacentral:misc_RNA from 1 species
GCAAACUUGGUCAUUUAGAGGAAGUAAAAGUCGUAACAAGGUUUCCGUAGGUGAACCUGCGGAAGGAUCAUUAAAGAAUUCGACCUCGCGGUCUUUUUCUUCUCCCACAGCUGUGCGCUCCGGCUGCACGCUCGUGCGGAUAAACCUCACACACCUGUGCACACUUCGGUCGCGGUAAAACGCCUCCGCUUUUACAUACAACCACAAAAGUCCAGAAUGUCUAAUACCAUAAACAAUACAACUUUCAACAACGGAUCUCUUGGCUCUCGCAUCGAUGAAGAACGCAGC